rnacentral:lncRNA from 1 species
AAAUUUAUAAACUAUCCUAAUUUUAGAAAAUAAGAAAAGAACCUAAAAAUAACUUCUAAUCAAAGAAAUUACCAAUUACACAUGCAACAGUACUAGAUUCUUCUAAAUCAGAUUUGAGAACGGAGGGAGAAAAAGAAGUCGAAAUUUACUUGCUUUACUCUUGAAAUUGAUUGGUUAGAUUUUGUAGACCUUGAGCCGUGAUCAUUUAGAUACCUCUUGAUCGUCACACAGAUGACUUAGCAAUAAGAACACUUAGAGAGAUGUGAGAGAAAGCAAAGAAAAAAAGUUUUAGAGAGAUAAAGUGUGUUUUAAGUAAUGAGACGAGUUUAAAAAAUUCUAUUUAUAUUAUAAAAUUAUUUUAUAAUAAAAUAUUCGGUCUUAUUAUUUUAAUACACAUACAAAUUCUAAUACUUUAUUUUCUAGAUUCUUACAUGUCUAAUAAGAGACAAAUGUUUCGAGUAAAG